GGGCGUUUGGUCUAGGGGUAUGAUUUUCGCUUCGCAUUAAGCGUGUGUUUGUGAAAGGUCCGGGGUUCAAAUCCCCGAACGUCCA